CCUACGGGAGGCAGCAGUGGGGAAUAUUGCGCAAUGGGCGAAAGCCUGACGCAGCGACGCCGCGUGGGGGAUGACGGCCUUCGGGUUGUAAACCUCUUUCAGCAGGGACGAAGCGAAAGUGACGGUACCUGCAGAAGAAGCACCGGCCAACUACGUGCCAGCAGCCGCGGUAAUACGUAGGGUGCAAGCGUUGUCCGGAAUUAUUGGGCGUAAGGAGCUCGUAGGCGGUUUGUUGCGUCGGCUGUGAAAACCUGAGGCUCAACCUCAGGCCUGCAGUCGAUACGAGCAGACUAGAGUGUUGCAGGGGAGACUGGAAUUCCUGGUGUAGCGGUGAAAUGCGCAGAUAUCAGGAGGAACACCGGUGGCGAAGGCGGGUCUCUGGGCAACAACUGACGCUGAGGAGCGAAAGCGUGGGGAGCGAACAGGAUUAGAUACCCGUGUAGUC
rnacentral:rRNA from 1 species